CCAGACCGCCAAGCCUUGAUCGGACGGCCAACGGUAGACCCAAAUCCACCUAGCCCUCCGCCAGGCGCCACCGGACCGCCGAAGACCACUCCGGCGACGGCACCUCCGCCUCCCAGCCACCCAACCACCUCCCGCCCCUGCGCGCGCGUGCGUGCUCCUCCUCCAAAAGCCGUGCUCGCCGCAAGGAGAACCGCAGCCUCGGCGAGCUCGCUGGUGCUGGCCGUUCCGAACAAGGAAGGGGGGGUAAAACCGAGGUGGGGGAACGCGGAAGCGGCGGGUACCUGUUCUACAACUGAGGUUGCUUCAGAGACCAAAGCUAUCCUUCUCAUUGACAUGCCAUUCAUCAUUUUGGCAUAUGUUGCUCCAAUCACGAGGAGCAUCGGAACAACUAAGAAUGACAUCAUACCCACCUCCCAGGAGCACACGAAAGCAACAAUUAUAGCGACUAAGAAUGUGGAGAAAUUGGAGAUGAAGUGACCCAUCUGAGGAAGAUUGAAGAGAUGCAUUGCACAAUAACUGCCAUCCUAUCAGAUAUGAUGGUCUUGACUGUUGAGGUGUCACUGACAAUGCGUGAGAAGGAGAAUCGGUGGAUCCUUCAGCAUUGCCCUUGCAAUAGCUACUCUUUGUUUUUGGCCUCCUGACAACUGAACACCUCUUUCUCCUACCUGAACCAAGUAAGUGUUGUAAGGCACAAGGGGAGCGCCUUUACUUUUAAAGAAAUCUUGGGUUAUAUAAUGAACUACUAAGCUCUGGUAAGAUUAUUUGGACAUCUAAACUUCUAAUCUCAGUAUAUCAACUACACAUUACGUUUUAUUCUUUGAGAAAUUUUGCUGACAUUUGACAUAACAGGAGUAACCCUAUUUUCCUUCAAGGUAUAGCAUUCUCUUGUGAGUUCUGUAGUUAGUAGUUUACUUAAGCUCUCACAUGGUCCCUCGCAGUACAUUCAUUAUCCUUCUUUCAGUAACUGUAGGAACAAAAGAAGGAAAUCUUGGUUUAUAUAAUGAACUACUAAUCUCUGGUAAGAUUAUCUGGACAUCUAAACUUCUAAUCUCAGUAUAUCAACUACACAUUAUGCUUGACAUUUGACAUAACAGGAAUUACACUAUUUUCGAUCAAGGUAUAGCAUUCUCUUGUGAGUUCUGUAAUUAGUAAUUUACUUAAGCUCUCACAUGGUCCUUGCAGUACAUUCAUUAUCCUUGUUUCAUUAAGUGUAGGAACAAAAGAAGGGUUUGCUUUGAUUUUUUACUAACCUAUACGUUUUGUUUGCAAGUUGUAACCUUAUACAAUUUUCAGUCAAAGCUCUAUGCAUUUUUAUGUUUGAGAUUCUGAAAAUCACAUGCGAUGUUCAUGUCACUUGCAUACUACUCGUUGUUGACAUUUUACUUAGCUGUCAAUUUCUGGCAAUUAUAGCAUUAUUGUGAAACCCCCAAUCACAAGCUCGAUAAAAGAUCCGAUUGUCGUGAUCAUAAUAAUACCAAAUUUAUGUUAUUAUUGUUCUAACUUAGAAAUUUUUUGUGCAUUGUCAUGUCCUAAUCAAAACCAUGAAGGUAUUUAAUUUUAGAAACAGGAUAUCUUUCGGUUACAUAUACAAAACUUCCCCUUCUUUUAUCCAUUGCUCUAGUGAACAUAUACAUACCUCUGUUAAAUAUCCAUUGGGAAGUUUAGAUAUGAAUGUAUGAACGUUAGCUGUCGUUGCUGCCUCAGUUAUCUCGUCGUCAGUUGCAUCCAUUUUACCAAUCCUCAAGUUGUCCUUGAUAGUACCAGAAAACAGUGAUGGCUCUUGAGAUACUGAAGCUAUAUUUCUCCGUAGGGAUUUCAGAUCAAUUUUCCUGAUGCUGUGACCAUCAAUUAAUAUGUCACCUGCAGCAUUAUGUCUCAUCACUAACUGAAACACUAUAAACUAGUUUAUACAUUAAUAAACAAUUUAACUCAUGUUAGCUAACAGGUGACCUUAAUCUCAGAUGGAGGGUUCUGCACUAAACAAGAUACUAUAAUAUUGACUUAGUUCACAUAUAUAACUGCUCUAGGUAGAUGUCGGAAGCCUACCCGAGGUUGGAUCAUAGAAUCUUUGAAGUAGUGAAAUAACCGUGCUCUUCCCACAGCCGCUGCUUCCUAUCAGAGCAACGACUUUGCCUGCGGGGAUGGACAGUGAGAAUCCUUGGAGAAUUGGCUUAUCCUGGCGGGAGGGGUAGGCGAAACGCACACCACGCAGUUCGAUCUCUCCAUAAACCUUGUCUAGUACUGUUCCGCCUUUUCCAUAACUUAUGGAUGGAUUUCGUUUGAUCACCUUGAAGACCUCUUUCCCUGCAGCUCUUGCUUGAUUAAAGGUCUGAAGAUCUGGUGCAGCAUAGAUGUUACUUCUGAGACAAUAGCAUUGCGUGACAAAGAUAUGACGUUCAUCUUUUUCGUGUAUGUUGCUCCAAUAGCGAGAAUCAGAGGAAUGACCAGGAAGGAGAGCAUUGCAACUUCCCAACAGCUGGCAAAUGCAAUUAUGAUACCAGCAAAAAAAGUGGAGAAGCUUGCGACGAAAUGACCGAGCUGCAGAAAAGUGAGCUCAGAUGCAUAUUUGUCCACAGAAUUUCUGGAAUCUAACAUGGUCAAGUCGGUGUCGAAGGCUCCAACCUCUUGAUUGAGAACUGAUUUUAGAAAUUCCAGCCGCAUGCGUGCUAGCUGUCUCUCACUUGAGUAUAUCCAGCAGGAGAUCUCUACAGCCAGGUUAUCAGGGGAAAUGUCCAAGCACUCUCUUGAAUGGCAUAUGGAAUCAAUGUCGGGACAGCUCAUAAACAAGGUUCUGGAGUCCCUAUUUUCCGUUCCUUUUUUCUUCAUAUCUGUUCUAAAUCACUACAGCCUAAUAUUAUUUCUUUCACCAAGGAAAAUCAUUAUGCAUCUUAAAUAAAUGAAAAGGAUCCUUGAUGUUUGACUUACCAACCAUUCCGGCAGGAAGAGUAGCUAUCGCCAUAUACCAUACAUAGGGAACCACCUUGAAACAACAAAAGAAAAAGAUUGGUGUCAAAACAACGCAGACCAAGAUAAUUGAAGUUCAAAAGACUAACGGUGUGCAUGCAUGUUUAUAGUACCUUAUACAAUGCAUGGACCAUUCCCUUCUGAUCAUUUAUGUUGGUUCCGAAGGCAUCGAGCGCUUUUCCGAGAAGGAGGUACCCGAUCGGGAAUGCCAUGCCGUGGAUGGCAGACCCGAGGGUUCCCAGGGCCAUGAGGAGCCAAUCCACAUUAUCGGCGUAGCAAAGCAACCCGAAGAAUGAGAAUGGCUUCUCGUCAACUUUAGCUUCUGGCGACGCUGAGCCUGUGCUUCUUCUUUCGUCCGUAUCAUUAUGCUGCGAUAAUGAUAAGGAUCUUUCAAAAAAAUAAGAUAAUGAAACAGGGUGGUUCUCAUCAUGGACCGUGGCCAUUCUUUCCGGUGAUGUUGGUUAUCUUUGACAGGAGGGAACCAUGGAAAAGGAAGUACAUAGAUGGUAUUGGUAUUAUAGGCGCAGGUGUUGCAUACUGGGCAUGCAUGUUCACAUGUAGACAAGGACAGCCACGUCGCCCAAGCCCCAAGGUGGUGUGGAACAAUAACUAUAGGCAGCUUGUUGAUGCAGUUUUGUCCAAGAAGGAACGUCCAAAGGAAAAGAAUGCGGCAUUUGUCCUCGUUGCCAGAGCCCAGAGAUAGGAUCAUAGGAGAAUCCUGGAGCUUGGCAUUCUAUACCUUCUUGAACUCAUGCUCAUUUCUCAUCAAAAUUUGGCCAAAAACUAACAGCUGAGCCGCCUCGCAUUGUGCAGGUUCGCGACGCAGCAGCUGGGUGAUUUAUUCUUUGAUUCUCCAAGCAAAAGCACAAUGUCUUGCAGCUAGCUUCUCCAGGUUCAGCUCAGAUGGUCAAUGAGAAGCUGCAAAAUUUUGGCCAAACAUGUGUUUUUUCUGGGGGUUUUUGUUUUCUUCCCAGGGAAGUGCAGGCUGAUCAGAACUUUCUAAAAAUGUUAUCAAUCAUGCCAUGUUCAUUGAUGGGAUAAGGAGAGAAUAUCCGGAUAAUCCAAGAAUGACCAGUUCCAAUGCUCUAUUAAAAAUUCAGAUUUCUGUCUCUUGCAUGUCUUCUUAGGGCCGAUUUCUGGGGACAUAAUUUUUCCUGGAAUAUCCUAGAGAAAUCUGUUAAAAAAAAUUGUGUAGAUUAUGAAAACUCAAUCACCACUGCUAACUUUCUUGAUGGUGCUCCCUUGAAAAAUCAAUGCAACUUUUGUCUUGAUCCCAGGAGCUCGGGUCUUGACAUAUGAA